UUUCCUUCUUUACUUCGGCAGACUUUGUGGUGGUAGUCAUGUCCAAGGAAUUGGUUAGGUCAGCAGCUGUAUAGCAAGAAGAGCGCAUGCUAUCCGCAAAGCUUCAUCAGAUGGCAAUGCUGGAUUCAUGAUUGAUAUAUUAAAGAGUGUGGAUUAUCUCACAAAUCAAUAAUUUUUGUCUUGGAUGAGUUUGAUCUUUUUGCUCAGGUACGUGUAGUAACUUUUAGCCACUUAUAGAAUUCUGUGCAAGUACUUCUUUACUUGUUUGUGUUCCCUUGUCAAUCCUCCUUUGUUGUUCCAUUUUUAUCUCAUUAUGCAAUGGCCUUUGCCUUAUUCUAAAUCUUUGAGCUUUUUGAUACAUGUGUAUGCAGGGGAAACAACGUUUGCUUUAUAGUUUGCUUGAUGCAAUGCAAACAAUGACUUCACAGGCUGUAGUUAUUGGUGUUAGCUACCGAUCGGUAUGUAGUCUCCACAUCUUUCACUUUUUUUUACAUUCAUAUUCAUGUCAAUAUACACUGGGCCACCCACAUUUUUUAAUCUCUUUUAAAAAAGACAAGUAAAAGGAAAAAUAAGGAAACAUUAAAGUUAAGAAAGUGGAAGGAAACUAAACAAUUGUUUUUAUGUAUAUUAUUAUUCUUAUUAUUCCACUUUUUGACUCCUUAAUUUUUCUUCCAAGCAUUGCUGGUUAUACUUGAUAAAGCCUCAUGUCUUUCAGGAUGCAGAUUAACUUCUUGAAAAAAGAGUUCAGUGUAGGUUUUGUCCGAGUCUCAAGCCGACAAUCCUUUUUGAUCAGUAUAUCUAGUAGAAGUAAGCAUGCAGAUCGUUGUCUUCAAGGCCGGCUAGCUAUUUUGUGCUUUUUUUGUUUUAAAUUCAAAUGUCACUAUCUACUUUGAAACAGAACUAUUUUGUAUUUGUGUAUAGUUGAA